GGGCGGUUAGCUCAGGGGGAGAGCGCUUCCCUGACACGGAAGAGGUCGGAGGUUCAAAUCCUCCACCGCCCA
rnacentral:tRNA from 1 species